GUCCUAGCCGUAAACGAUGGGCACUGGGUAGGGGGAAGCCUAUGCUCUUCCCUGCCGAAGCAAAUGUAUUAAGUGCCCCGCCUGGGGAGUACGCUCGCAAGGGUAAAACUCAAAGGAAUUGACGGGGGCUCACACAAGCGGUGGAGCAUGUGGUUCAAUUCGAAGCAACGCGAAGAACCUUACCUGGCCUUGACAUCCAUGGAUUAAUCCCCUGAAAGGGGGAUACUGCUCUUCGGAGCCGGAACAUGGACAGGUGUUGCAUGGCUGUCGU
rnacentral:rRNA from 1 species